CGGUGGGACACGGGUAGAGACAUGGAGGUGAGAUGGGAGACGGUGGGACACGGGUAGAGACACGGAGGUGAGGUGGGAGACGGUGGGGACACGGGUAGAGACAUGGAGGUGAGGUGGGAGAUGGUGUGACACAGGUAGAGGCAGCAGGACAUGGGAAGAGACGGUGGGACACGGGGAGAGACAUGGAGGAUGCAGGGGUCACGGCAGGACACAAGGAAACAGGGGACCGGAAUAGCGUGACACGGGGGGAUAGCGACCCGCAGAUGCUCAGGCAACACGAGACAUGGGGAGGGCUGGGUAUGGGGACGUAUGUAUGUGUGUGUGUUGAACUUCUUUCGCACCGUACGUAGCCAACAGUGUUAAUCAGAGGAGACACUGGGACUGCGAGCUCUUGCGAGGGGGUACAUCGAUACCAGAUAAGCACUUAGAACAAGUGUCGUGUACGUGUGGGGGGGGGGGGGGGUGUUCGCUGUUAAGUGUGUACGGACAGCAGUGGGCACUGUAUUCUGGUGUUGCCCAAGUGGCAUGUUCAAUUGGACAAAUCUGUUGUCAGUUAAACAUUGCGUAAUGAAGCAACACGCCACCACAUUUCAAUGAACACAGAGUGAAAAUCUGUUAACCGUUUUAAGCGUUUCACAAAUUACGAUAAUAUAAAAAAGACACAAAUACCUCA